ACAAUCACAUGAUGAGGACUGUCUGUCUGUAUUGAAUAAGACUGCUACAAUCACAUGAUGAGGACUGUCUGUCUGUAGUGAAUAAGACUGCUACAAUCACAUGAUGAGGACUGUCUGUCUGUAGUGAAUAAGACUGCUACAAUCACAUGAUGAGGACUGUCUGUCUUUGCAGCUGGCACAAAUUAGUCUUAUUAGACUCCUUGAAUAAAAAUGAGAAACAUACUUUGCAGUGAAACCAGAAGCUGCUCAAAGUGCCAAGGCAAGGCACACAUUAUACAUGAAUGAUAAUAAUAACUUAGUAUUCACCACUAGUGUAGUAAUGAGUACCAUAAGUGUUAUCAGCAGGCAUCCUAAUUCUCCUCAGCAGGCAUCCUAAUUCUCCUCAGCAGGCAACCCAAUUCUCCUCAGCAGGCAACCCAAUCCUCCUCAGCAGGCAACCCAAUUCUCCUCAGCAGGCAUCCCAAUCCUCCUCAGCAGGCAUCCCAAUCCUCCUCAGCAGGCAUCCCAAUCCUCCUCAGCAGGCAUCCCAAUCCCCCAUCCAUAUAUUUAAAUGAAUUGGAUGGUUGUAAGCAUGGGCAAACUUAGGGAGGGUUGCCAUCAUAUCUCUUACACCAUUAAUUUCCUAUUAAGUCCAGGGAGGAAGGGUAGAGAAUUGGGACACAAAGUCAGACUCCAUUCUGAAGAGGAGCAUACAAAGGGAAUCAUGGCCCAGUAACUAGUGUUCAAUCACACAUUUAGUUUGCCAUUUAGAUUCCCCAGAUCAGUCAACACAUUAGGCACAAGUACGUGUGUGAGCACACACACAUUUUAUAUGAUUGUUUUAAAGGAAGGAUCACUUCCUUCUCAAAAGACUGAUCACUUCUAUCAUUGAUCAAUUGAUUGCUUGAAAUGCCUUUGAUAUAAACGACACUCACUGUACAUCUGAAGUCAGAGAGAGGGAGGACACAUCAAUCGAUGAUGUCAUCAGUUAGUGUGUACCUGGUGUGACAAGUGUGUCAAGAUGUAAAUAAAUAGGUUCUGUAGAUAGUGUACAUUUCUCUGGAGCUUCAUGGCCAUAAAUGUAGACUUGCUAUACCUUGCACUCCCCAGGUCAGUACAGAGGAAACAGAAUAGACUGAGUCUAUAUUAAAUUGGUGAGUGAUGAAUAAAUGAGUGCUCAUCCACUGACUGACCUAGGGUUUUCUGAAUGAGGGCUAAGUGUGUUCACUUCACUGAUGAUAUGAGGGAAAACACCCCACAAGAACACCAACAUCUUAUACAUAGCAUAAUGCACAUAGAUCCUUUUUGCAUUAGGUAUGAAGUAUUAAAGUGGGCAUAUGAAUUAGGGACUAAACAAUGACCAAAUAGUUGGAAUUAGAGAAGAAAGUGUGAAGGAGGAGAGGGGGGGACAGGGGAGGAGAGGGGGGGACAUUAUGUUCAGUAUUCUCUGACAGAAGCCUCAGGCCUUCAUUGAUCCAGAGCAGGAUCGUUUGGUCUGCAUCAACAUCCUGAUCCCACCCUCUGCUGUGGCAAUGACACUGACUCCCAGGCCAUACUCGUAAAUGCUCUUACAAUAAGACUACUGAUCUAGGAUCAGUCUAACCUUUUAGGUCAUAAUGAAUACGAUUGUAAAUGUAAUCUUAUUCAUUAUUACCUAAAAGGCCAAACUGAUCUUAGAUCAGCAGUCCUACUCUGAGACACUUGAAUAAACGGGGCCAGGGGUUUCUAUGGGUCAGGCUAGGACCAGGGCCAGAGCAGUGACCCAUUAUCUGCUGCUCAGCUUGCUGGAGCACUUUCUCUCUCUCUCCUCGCGGCUGCAGGCUUUCCACUUGAGGGCGUGGUGGUGGUGGGAGCCGGUGCGGGCCUGGCGGCAGCAGCAAAUCUCCUGAUGGUGGGGAUAGGAGCGCCGGGGAGGAGGGGGGGACCCAGAGAAGCUGGGAGGAGAACAGGAGCGACCGAAACAAACCACUCUGCCUCGCUCUCCCCCGCGGUGUUCGUGACGAGAGGGGGAGGAGGAGACAGAGCGCUGUAGAGAGGAACAGCUGCGUGGGGAGGCACUGGAGCUCCGGUGGUGAUGGUGGUGGGGGGAGCUGGUCAGGCUACACAUGCCCAUCCGGGAGCCUACAAGCUGGGCUGAGGAGUGGCCGUGGUGGGGGGAACCGCGGGCAGAUCCACCACCCUGACCAUGGUGCAUCAGCUGGGACAGACAGGUCAGGAGGUCUGAGUCCCUUGUGCUGCCCGCUCGGAUCCGAUAAC
ensembl:lncRNA